UACGUAGGUGACAAGCGUUGUUCGGAAUUACUGGGCGUAAAGGGCGCGUAGGCGGCCUUCUAAGUCGAACGUGAAAUCCCCGGGCUCAACCAGGGAACUGCGUCUGAUACUGGAUGGCUUGAAUCCGGGAGAGGGAUGCAGAAUUCCAGGUGUAGCGGUGAAAUGCGUAGAUAUCUGGAGGAAUACCGGUGGCGAAGGCGGCAUCCUGGACCGGCAUUGACGCUGAGGAGCGAAAGCUAGGGGAGCAAACGGGG
rnacentral:rRNA from 1 species